rnacentral:rRNA from 1 species
AGUAACACGUGAGUAAUCUACCCUCGGGUGGGGGAUAACGUCUCGAAAGGGGCGCUAAUACCGCAUGAGACCACGACCUCUUCGGGGGAUGUGGCCAAAGGGGCGCAAGUCCCGCCUUUGGAUGAGCUCGCGGACCAUUAGCUUGUUGGUGGGGUAACGGCCGACCAAGGCAGAGAUGGUUAGCUGGUCUGAGAGGAUGAUCAGCCACACUGGAACUGAGACACGGUCCAG